rnacentral:lncRNA from 1 species
GUUCUACUUUUUCCUAUUCUUUUCCUAUUCCUUUUAAUAUUUUCUUUGCAGGAUAAACUAUGAUGCCAAAUUCCGUCCAAGAGAAGAAGGAAACGAACCUUAGGAGGACUGAGUUAUGAUAACAAUUCCGACCAAGAGGAAGGGGAUGUGGAUUAGAAGAUGGACCAGAAGUGGACUAAGUUAUGGUAAAUGGUAGUAAAAAAUAAUUA